rnacentral:rRNA from 1 species
UACGUAGGGCGCAAGCGUUAUCCGGAAUUAUUGGGCGUAAAGAGCUCGUAGGCGGUUUGUCGCGUCUGCCGUGAAAAGUCCCGGGGGCUCAACUCCCGGAUCUGCGGUGGGUACGGGGCAGACUAGAGUGCGGGUAGGGGGAGAUUGGAAUUCCUGGUGUAGCGGUGGAAUGCGCAGAUAUCAGGAAGAACACCCCGUGGCUAAGGCGGCUCUCUAGUACGGGUAC